rnacentral:rRNA from 1 species
AUUGAACGCUGGCGGCAGGCCUAACACAUGCAAGUCGAACGGUAACAGGAAGAAGCUUGCUUCUUUGCUGACGAGUGGCGGACGGGUGAGUAAUGUCUGGGAAACUGCCUGAUGGAGUGGGAUAACUACUGGAAACGGUAGCUAAUACCGCAUAACGUCGCAAGACCAAAGAGGGGGACCUUCUGGCCUCUUGCCAUCUGAUGUGCCCAGAUGGGAUUAGCUAGUAGGUGGGGUAACGGCUCACCUAGGCGACGAUCCCUAGCUGGUCUGAGAGGAUGACCAGCCACACUGGAACUGAGACACGGUCCAGACUCCUACGGGAGGCAGCAGUGGGGAAUAUUGCACAAUGGGCGCAAGCCUGAUGCAGCCAUGCCGCGUGGAUGAAGAAGGCCUUCGGGUUGUAAAGUACUUUCAGCGGGGAGGAAGGGAGUAAAGUUAAUACCUUUGCUCAUUGACGUUACCCGAAGAAGAAGCACCGGCUAACUCCGUG